rnacentral:rRNA from 1 species
AGUGAACGCUGGCGGUAGGCCUAACACAUGCCAGUCGAACGGCAGCACAGUAAGAGCUUGCUCUUACGGGUGGCGAGUGGCGGACGGGUGAGGAAUACAUCGGAAUCUACUUUUUCGUGGGGGAUAACGUAGGGAAACUUACGCUAAUACCGCAUAUGACCUACGGGUGAAAGCAGGGGAUCUUCGGACCUUGCGCGAUUGAAUGAGCCGAUGUCGGAUUAGCUAGUUGGCGAGGUAAAGGCCCACCAAGGCGACGAUCCGUAGCUGGUCUGAGAGGAUGAUCAGCCACACUGGAACUGAGACACGGUCCAGACUCCUACGGGAGGCAGCAGUGGGGAAUAUUGGACAAUGGGCGCAAGCCUGAUCCAGCCAUACCGCGUGGGUGAAGAAGGCCUUCGGGUUGUAAAGCCCUUUUGUUGGGAAAGAAAAGCAGCAGGUUAAUACCCCGCUGUUCUGACGGUACCCAAAGAAUAAGCACCGGCUAACUUCGUG